GCCUGGGUGGCUCAGUAGGUAGAGCAUCCGACUUCAGCUCAGGUCAUGAUCUCAUGGUUCGUGGGUUCGGGCCCCACGCCGGGCU
rnacentral:tRNA from 1 species